rnacentral:pre_miRNA from 1 species
UACAUACUCCCUUCGUUCGGAAUUACUUGUCAUAAAAAUGGAUGUAUCUACAACUAAAAUACAUCUAGAUACAUUCAUUUCUUGGACGAGUAAUUCCGAAUGGAGGAAGUACAAC